rnacentral:rRNA from 1 species
UUCGCGGCCUAUCAGCUUGUUGGUGGGGUAAUGGCCUACCAAGGCGACGACGGGUAGCCGACCUGAGAGGGUGACCGGCCACACUGGGACUGAGACACGGCCCAGACUCCUACGGGAGGCAGCAGUGGGGAAUAUUGCACAAUGGGCGAAAGCCUGAUGCAGCGACGCCGCGUGAGGGAUGACGGCCUUCGGGUUGUAAACCUCUUUCAGCAGGGACGAAGCGCAAGUGACGGUACCUGCAGAAGAAGCACCGGCUAACUACGUGCCAGCAGCCGCGGUAAUACGUAGGGUGCAAGCGUUGUCCGGAAUUACUGGGCGUAAAGAGUUCGUAGGCGGUUUGUCGCGUCGUUUGUGAAAACCAGCAGCUCAACUGCUGGCUUGCAGGCGAUACGGGCAGACUUGAGUACUGCAGGGGAGACUGGAAUUCCUGGUGUAGCGGUGAAAUGCGCAGAUAUCAGGAGGAACACCGGUGGCGAAGGCGGGUCUCUGGGCAGUAACUGACGCUGAGGAACGAAAGCGUGGGUAGCGAACAGGAUUAGAUACCCUGGUAGUCCACGCCGUAAACGGUGGGCGCUAGGUGUGGGUUCCUUCCACGGAAUCCGUGCCGUAGCUAACGCAUUAAGCGCCCCGCCUGGGGAGUACGG